ACUAUCAGUCGAAGGAAUCAGUUGCAAGUGACCACAAAGUUCCCCAAAGGCUUCUCGGUGCUGGAUGCGACACGAAUACGCACCUUCUUUUCUUUUGUUUUCUUUUUCCUUAAGGGGUCACAUGUACAGGAUAUACAUGACUUGACGAGAGACAAACCAUCCAUGCAACAGGUCAUUUUUGGAAGCAACCAGAGUGAUGACAUUUUCAACGAAAUUGGGGUCCCAUGAUCGCCGGAAACGACUUGAUAAAGACAGCACUACAGUCUGGAGAUCAUGCACAUGUGGAUUCACGAGUCGCUCUUGAUUAAAGUGUGAUUCCGGCUACAAUGCUACACUCUCCGGCUACAAUUUGAUCUUCAUUUGUUUCUUUUGAUUUUUUUCCCCUAAGAGCCAAAGGCUGUCAUUGCAGACGGCAACCAGUACAAAGAAUGUCCAAAGAAGCGGUCACAGAGUUUUAAGGAUCCUAACAAAGGCAUUCUCCGCACUACUGAGAACCAUUUCAUGACAGUCACUUUGUGUUACAGUGUGGACUCAGCAAGACAGACUUUCUCUUUACUUCAAGCUGGCAGGUUGUACCACGUUACUGUCAUUGCAACUUCUCUCUGGAUGGAGAGGUAGGGCGCCCAUAAUUGUAAAAUUCUCGCUGUCUUGGCAUCAAUGAGUGGGUAGUCUUUCCCAGUGUGCACGAGUUAUUGUAGGAGAAAGAACAGUUUGCCACACUAUUCACCCAUCCUUGCUUUUGGAAUGUAGUCCAUCAAUAUCAUCCUUCCAGCAGAGCUAAUUCAAAUUCUUUGCAUCAAUCUCUCCAGGGUCAAGGCGACCAAAUCAUUUUCAUCCUGAAAUCUUUGCUUAUCUCAUGCCACACAGAACCUUAAAAAAAUUAUUCAACUAUUUGUUUGUGAUAUCUAACCAUAACUGCCCAGAUCUUAACUUGUAUUAAAGACGAGUUUUCAACCACACAUUGCAGACAUUAAAAAUUGUCUCCUACUUUUUAAUUGCUCACUGGUCUAUGUUAAUAGUAUGAUGGGUACAAAACUCAAAGAGAACUUCAAAAUUCAGAAUGAUUGAAAGAUCAGAAAUUUUUCAGAGGUAUGAACGAGCUUAAAAAAGUAAACUUGUCUCAUGAAUAGAAAAGUGAUGAUUAUCAGAACGAUAAUUCAGAAGCUGCCAACAUGUUUGUUGAUUUGCAAGAUCACGUUAUCCGGCUGAAAUUAUGUUCAUGAUAAGUAUAGUUUCAAAUUCUUUUAAACACUCAAUUUGAUAUAUAUAUAUAUAUAUAUAUAUAUAUAUAUAUAUGUGUGUGUGUGUGUAUGUAUCUAUGGGACAAUUCAUUCUUAAAAUCAAUGUAAUAAAUGAAUAAAUGAAUAAUUUAAUAAAUUGAUAACAAGAGCAAGUUUUGGUGGAAGGUUUUCUGUCAAUGAUUUAUGCAACUCCAAGCACUGCACCCAUAGAAUCCAUAGACUGAAUUAUAAAGAGGGUUUUUCGUAGUAUCUCCUAAUUAACGAUGUGUUCAACAUCCUAUCAUCUUAAUUAAAAUGAAUGAAUUUACAAUUGAUGUUGGAAUGAAUGUUGAAUGGAUGAAUGAAUAUAUUACAUUACUUUUUAUUCUUAUGAUCAACUUUUGUUAAGUGAUAUGACUUGGUAAUCGGUGAGAAUCGAAAUAAUUAUGUUCGACUGUAAAUAGUAAUAUGGUUUUAGUAGAAAGUUAUAUGGAAAUAUUUUACCGCAAAUUUGCUUAAAUAUGCUUCGUACACAUAAUGUCAACAUUUCUUUCUUUUCUCCCUCUUUUAUCUAUCUUUUUCUUUCUCUCUUUCUUCUUCGAUUUCUUUAUUUGUUUAUUAAUGCAAGUUUUCCUCAUCUCUUGGGGUUCCACCCAUGUGUAACCAAGAUCAUCCACACUGGUGCACCGCAUAUGGUCCAUGCACGGCAGGGAGAUGGAAACUAUGUGUCAGCAUGCUGUAAGGCUGGAAGAGGGGCCUCAACUUUAGCAACCUAGACGCCUUGGGGGCUGGAGCUACCCGACUUGAAGCUAUUCUCAGCGGAGGAGGGGGAGACGAUAAAGGGAGACGAGGAAAGAAGGAAGGAGAGAGCCAGAGCCAGUCUAACAUUCCUUUGUCCUGGAUUCAUCAACAGUGCUCCCUACAGGAAAGUAGUUGGAUCCUUUGACCCUUCAAAAGAUGUUUUCACUCUACCUUUUCCCUUUUGUUCUGCAGUGUAACAAUGCUGGGCUUUGAGUUCCAAAUUUUAUAAACAAUUGGAUGCUGUUUCACA